rnacentral:rRNA from 1 species
GACGAACGCUGGCGGCGUGCUUAACACAUGCAAGUCGAACGGAAAGGCCCUGCUUUUGUGGGGUGCUCGAGUGGCGAACGGGUGAGUAACACGUGAGUAACCUGCCCUUGACUUUGGGAUAACUUCAGGAAACUGGGGCUAAUACCGGAUAGGAGCUCCUGCUGCAUGGUGGGGGUUGGAAAUUUUCGGCGGUUGGGGAUGGACUCGCGGCUUAUCAGCUUGUUGGUGGGGUAGUGGCUUACCAAGGCUUUGACGGGUAGCCGGCCUGAGAGGGUGACCGGCCACAAGGGGAAUGAGAUACGGCCCAGACGCCAAAGGGAGGCAGCAGGGGGGAAUAUUGAAAAAUGGGCGGGAGCCUGAGGAAGAAAAGCCGGGGGGGGGAAGACGGGCUUCGGGUUGUAAACAGCUGUCGCCUGUGACGAAGCGGGAGUGAAGGUAAUGGGUAAAGAAGCACCGGCUAACUACGUG